rnacentral:rRNA from 1 species
GAUCAUGGCUCAGAUUGAACGCUGGCGGCAUGCUUUACACAUGCAAGUCGAACGGCAGCACAGGGAGCUUGCUCCCGGGUGGCGAGUGGCGCACGGGUGAGUAAUACAUCGGAACGUGUCCUGUUGGUGGGGGAUAACUGCUACGGAAAGGGGUGGCUAACUACCGCAUGAGACCUGGAGGGUAGAAAGGGCGGGGGGAUCGCAAGACCUCGCGCAACUGGAGCGGCCGAUCGCCCGAUUAG